GCAACCUGGAGUCAACCAGGUACAUGGUA
rnacentral:sRNA from 1 species